AUCCGAAUCAUUUGGGAUCUUAUUAGAAAUGCAGAGCCCCAUCCUAGAUCCGAUAAAUCAGUCCUGCAUUUUAAUAAGAUCCCCAGGUGAUUCGAAG
rnacentral:miRNA from 1 species